UUCUAUGAACAGUGUUCCAAAAGGUUCAGAACUGUAAAUAGAGCAGGCGUUUUGAGAUUAUGUAAUAUGAAUCAAGAUAUCUGAUUUCAAAAGUGAAAAGAGAUAAAGUGAAAAAAUAAUGAUGUAAUGAUCACUCGUGACACAAGAAGGGGUACGACAGGUCUUCGUUGAAGGAGCUGUCCCUGUUGUAGAACGUGUUGGCGAACUGGUUGUGGCAUUUGCUGGACGCGCAGUUGUACUCGGUGUUACUGUACCGUUCGGCUGCUUGUGCUUGGACGAACUGCCAUCGCUGGUCGACUUAUUUUUCUCCACAGCAUACAACGCAAUAAACACGACAGACAAGACGAGUAGCACCAGAAACAACGUGGCCAAAAGCAAGCGCGCUUUCGAAGGUUUCCGCGUUUCGGGCUCUUCAAGCAAACCAAAAGAAAUUGACGAUGGCAUAUUUACUUAUAAGCUAGACAGGAGCCUGAGAAAUCUAAAAUGAUGCGAUUAGAAUGAAGCAAGUUGGAAUUAUGCCUAAGCACAUGGAAUUAUGCCUUGACACUACAGCACACCUGAGGCUGUCAACGACUCUGCGCGCAGAAUUUCCUUACAAGUUCUUUUGCAUUCCUCAGUUUUCCCUAAAAUGAUAAACAGGAAGACCGAAUUUGGGAAGUAAAAAGGUCGACGAAAUAUUCUGCGUAGGCGACUCUCUGAGCGGGAAUUUAGUCAAAGCGAAAACAAUUAUAUUCCCUCUCAAAUUCCUCAGUCUUUGCUACAAUGAUAAGCUGCAACAACGGUUAAUGGAGUGUCCCAUCCAGCGACUGACCGAAUUUAAAGGAGUCAAAAGGUUGACUAAAUAUUCUGCGUGGACGAUACGCUGCCUUUUUCACUAGAUCAGAACUAAAGAAGUGUAGACAGUCUGAGUGGGCAUUUCCUCAACGCCAAAUAUAGGGGAAGUAAAAUAGGGAAGCAAAAAGGGGAAAUAUUGCAGAUGUGCGGUUCUUCUUAGAAUAUAUCGCGUCUUUGACGUCAUAUCACUACGAGAACACAUCCGCCGCUGAUUCAGAGCAAGAUAUCAUAUUGGUAGAAGAUAUUGUUGAUUGCUAAGCGAGCGAGCGAGCCUAAACAUUUGGCCACACUAUGGCUCACAAGAAGAUGGCAAAAACAUACUACCAAACGGCGCAAGUGUUCUUCGGUGUUGGGCAUCUGAAUGCUUUACUGAAUUCAGGAAAGUUGUGGAGUGGAACACGUACUCUGAAAAAGAUAAUACAUAAAUUAUCAGACGCUUUUACCACAACAACAUGUGGUUAGAAUUCUUUUGCUUUCAGUUGAGGCAAUACUCUAAGAUAGCCCAGUUCAUACACGUAUAAUUAUAAAAGGCCCUUUACACUACGCGAUUUGUCGUAUACGAUUCGUACCCUGGCGUAUGUGAACCUAUGAUCACCAGAUCAGUGAUGAACACACGUACAACGAGAGGUACGCAUAGCGUACAUGUGGGUACCCUCGAAAACAUCAGCAGCGAUUACAGUAAAGCAAAGCACUGCAAUUUAUAUAGUCUAUUUCAUAUUAUAUAGACAAUUAUCGAGUUAAUUUAAAUAUUGCUGAAGAUUUUUAUUUGUCAGUAUAUUCGUCAGUAAUGUACCUGCAAGUCAGCAAGAAGUCAGCAGUGUUAUUUUGUUUGAAUACAGCAGCAGUUGCGGCUGUUAAUUAUUUUAUAUACCCGCACAAUGGCUGGGUUCAAAUUUCAAUACCCACACAGUGGCUGGGUUCACUUUCAAUACCCGCACAAUGGCUGGGUUCAAUUUCAAUACCUGCACAAUGGCUAGGUUCAAUUUUGGUACGUGGCCUUUCAUGUAAAUAGUACCCUGGUCUAUGAUGACGACCAGUGCGAGCAACAAUGGCUUCGGUUUUUUUGAAUUUUUCGAUACGUCAUACGCGCACUCUGACAUGUGGAGCGCCUGACAAGAUGAUGUCAGUGCAGGCAAAAUUGCCCCGUAUACAACGAAAUGUACGCUUGUAAAAUCUGAUUGUAGUCGAAAUUGCUCGACCACAGUAGAUAAAUAAGCGAUUAAAAUAAAAAAAACCCACAAAAAGCAAUACAGCUUAACUUAACUUUGUAAAAAUCUGAAACAACGCAGUCCACGCCUCCACGAAAUCACAGUGGAAACUCGAAAUCUUUAAUCUUGGCAAAAUAACAACUUACGAUAUUUUCCGAACUAUUUACGAUAUUUUCCGGAAGUCAUAACGAACGAUAUUAUCGUCGUUUAUAAUAUGAAUGAAGAUUGUGGCAUAGGCCCUCUUUUCCAUCCGU